GGUGAACGCUGGCGAUGUGCCUAAGACAUGCAAGUCGAGCGGAUGAAGGAAGCUUGCUUCCCUAUUCAGCGGCGGACGGGUGAGUAAUGCCUAGGAAUCUGCCUAUUAGUGGGGGAUAACUCGGGGAAACUCGGGCUAAUACCGCAUACGUCCUACGGGAGAAAGUGGGGGAUCUUCGGACCUCACGCUAAUAGAUGAGCCUAGGUCGGAUUAGCUAGUUGGUGAGGUAACGGCUCACCAAGGCGACGAUCCGUAGCUGGUCUGAGAGGAUGAUCAGCCACACUGGAACUGAGACACGGUCCAGACUCCUACGGGAGGCAGCAGUGGGGAAUAUUGGACAAUGGGCGAAAGCCUGAUCCAGCCAUGCCGCGUGUGUGAAGAAGGUCUUCGGAUUGUAAAGCACUUUAAGUUGGGAGGAAGGUCUGUAAGCUAAUAUCUUGCAGCCUUGACGUUACCAACAGAAUAAGCACCGGCUAACUCUGUGCCAGCCGCCGCAGUAA
rnacentral:rRNA from 1 species